GACGUAGGGGGCCAGCGUUGCUCGGAAUUACUGGGCGUAAAGGGUUCGUAGGCGGUGCGGCAAGUCUCGAGUGAAAUCUCCCGGCUCAACCGGGAUACUGCUCGGGAAACUGCUGUGCUCGAGUCCGGGAGAGGCGCGUGGAAUUGCAGGUGUAGCGGUGAAAUGCGUAGAUAUCUGCAGGAACACCAGAGGCGAAAGCGGCGCGCUGGACCGGUACUGACGCUGAGGAACGAAAGCUAGGGGAGCAAACAGG
rnacentral:rRNA from 1 species